rnacentral:rRNA from 1 species
GGUUAAGCGACUAAGCGUACACGGUGGAUGCCUAGGCAAUCAGAGGCGAUGAAGGACGUGCUAAUCUGCGAUAAGCGUCGGUAAGGUGAUAUGAACCGUUACAACCGACGAUUUCCGAAUGGGGAAACCCAGUGCAAUUCGUUGCACUAUCGUUUGAUGAAUACAUAGUCAAACGAAGCGAACCGGGGGAACUGAAACAUCUCAGUACCCCGAGGAAAAGAAAU